AGGACGAACGCUGGCGGCGUGCUUAACACAUGCAAGUCGAGCGGAAAGGCCCUUCGGGGUACUCGAGCGGCGAACGGGUGAGUAACACGUGAGUAAUCUGCCUUUAGCUCUGGGAUAGCUCCGGGAAACCGGGAUUAAUACCGGAUAUGACCACUUUAGACAUCUGUUGUGGUGGAAAGUUUUUCGGCUAGAGAUGAGCUCGCGGCCUAUCAGCUUGUUGGUGGGUAACGGCCUACCGAAGGCGACGACGGGUA
rnacentral:rRNA from 1 species